rnacentral:tRNA from 1 species
GGCCGGCGGCGGGCCGGACAGCCGCCCGGCGCUGCUGGCGGUGGGGGCGCUGAUGGUGAUGUCGACUUCAAUGUCGGGGCGGCCC